GCUUAUGGCCAUACCACCCUGGGUGCGCCUGAUCUAGACUGAUCUCAGAAGCUAAGCAGGGUUGGACCUGGUUAGUACUUGAAUGGGAGACCGCCUGGGAGUACCAGGUGCUGUAAGCU